rnacentral:rRNA from 1 species
GAUUGAACGCUGGCGGCAGGCCUACCCCCUGCAAGUCGAGCGGAUGAAGGGAGCCUGCUCCUGGAUUCAGCGGCGGACGGGUGAGUAAUGCCUAGGAAUCUGCCUGGUAGUGGGGGAUAACGUCCGUAAACGGGCGCUAAUACCGCAUACGUCCUGAGGGAGAAAGUGGGGGAUCUUCGGACCUCACGCUAUCAGAUGAGCCUAGGUCGGAUUAGCUAGUUGGUGGGGUAAAGGCCUACCAAGGCGACGAUCCGUAACUGGUCUGAGAGGAUGAUCAGUCACACUGGAACUGGGACACGGUCCGGACUCCUACGGGAGGCAGCAGUGGGGAAUAUUGGACGAUGGGCGAAAGCCUGAUCCAGCCAUGCCGCGUGUGUGAAGAAGGUCUUCGGAUUGUAAAGCACUUUAAGUUGGGAGGAAGGGCAGUAAGUUAAUACCUUGCUGUUUUGACGUUACCAACAGAAUAAGCACCGGCUAACUUCGUG